rnacentral:lncRNA from 1 species
UGCAGAUUACUGUUUCCGACAUGAUAAAAUAAAAAGAUUAAAAUAUUUCUAAUCAUGAUUAAUCUCAAUCUGUGAUAUUUCCUGAAAACUUGCAAUUAUUAUAAAAUCAUUUUAAAACCCUGUGUUACUCAAGUCAAUAUGGAAUAUGUGAUGGUAGAGUAUGAGUUUCUUAUUCUUGAUAUCAUUGUUGCUUGGAGAAUUUAUUUCAAAAUAUUCAAAAUUCUAGCUACCAUCCUCAGUGUUUUAUAUGCCUGAUAAAAAUAAAAAUAUUAAUGAUGAUUAUAAAGCUAUCUACUCUGUAUUGAGUUUGUUCAAAAUGAGUUAGACCCUUGUUGAGAGAUUUAUCAUGCUCCCAA